rnacentral:rRNA from 1 species
AAAUUGAAGAGUUUGAUCAUGGCUCAGAUUGAACGCUGGCGGCAGGCCUAACACAUGCAAGUCGAACGGUAACAGAAAGCAGCU